rnacentral:antisense_RNA from 1 species
AUUUUUUAAUUAUUUAGAAGAUAUGAAAAUUUGAUUUAAUUCGAAGGAUUUAUUUUGAGCAGGUAAGUGAUUUUGUAAUUUUUGAAAUGGUACACCCGAGUGGACUCGAACCACCGACCCCUACCA